rnacentral:lncRNA from 1 species
GAAAGAAAAAAAAAAAAAAAAAAAAAACAAUGUUUCAGAACAAAUCUACCUUGAAUAAUGAAAUCCAAUGCAAUAUGAAACGAGUUAGUGUUCCGUAAAACUUUCAGCAGUCAACAAAAUUCACACCUUAAACAAACCAAAUGACACAAUACAUAUAUACAAUAAUAUACUCUCGAAGAAACCUACUCAUUUCAUUUAUCUAGGUUAUGUAAGUAACAUGCAAGGAAUUCAUUUCAGUACUCUGGAAAACCAGGCAUUGUCUUAGACGAUUGCAAGUGUCGAAUAUUUGGAGGAGCAGAUGAAGGAGGAGCCGAAAGCGACCUCAUAACAGAGCUUGAACUUGACGCAGGAGGACUGUAAAGUUGGUUUGAGUUUACAGAACUACCAAUAGCAGCACCAUUUGCGACCUCUACCAUGGGUUCAGGUUGUUGGUGGUUGCGCUGCAGCCCAUCAAUAUCCAUUGAUUCUAAAACAUUUGGAUUUUGAUGAUUCUGGGUCGCACUGGGAAGUUGGGAUUGCCAAAAUGUUGACUGUUGAAUAGCUGUGGAUUGGCUUGCACGAGCAUUACUUUUACCUUCGGCCUCAUUAGCUUUGUUUGGUUUAAAUUCCGGCAAAUUUUCUGAAUCUAAAGAAGAAGUAACCUCUAUAGCAUCAACCUUAGUUGUUGAAGAACGCCCAGAAGCAAUUAAGGUCGUGGGAAAUGCCCGCUCCGGAGGAACAGCUGGGGUGUAAUUAGAGGGAAGUAAAUCAUCCCAAUUCUCCAGUAAUUCUUUGUACACUUUACGGAGAGUGACUUCAGUAAGACCAGUUACUUUGCAAAUUUCAGCCUGGGUUUUGCGUUUGUCUUCUAGUUGGCAAGCCAAAUAUAUGGCGGCAGCUGAGAUGCUAAUUGGAUUCCUGCGAGUGCAGAAGCAUUUGUUGAUCACAACGUCUCCUAUAUGAGUAGCCAGUACCUGAGCAGAUUUAUUGAGCUGAAGAAGAGUACAAAAUCUUGGCAUAUGAACUGAUAUAGAAUUGCUGUUAAUAGGUUGGCUUAGCUGCAAAGCUUCUCCCAGUAUCUUGAUGUAUUUACCGAUUUCCUUUUGUGCCACAUUGGCAGCAAUUGAAAUU